GCCUGCUUAGAUAUAUGAAAAACAUCUAAUAUUAGAUAUAUGAAAAACAUCGGUUCGAUAUAGAGACUGGUCC
rnacentral:tRNA from 1 species